rnacentral:tRNA from 2 species
GCGGGGGUUCCCGAGCCAGGUCAAAGGGGACAGACUCAAGAUCUGUUCGCGUAGGCGUUCGUGGGUUCAAAUCCCACCCCCCGCA